rnacentral:rRNA from 1 species
GCGUGGAGCUGUCCUUAGUACGAGAGGACCGGGAUGGACGGAUCUCUGGUGUUCCGGUUGUCAUGCCAAUGGCAAUGCCGGGUAGCUAUAUCCGGACGGGAUAACCGCUGAAGGCAUCUAAGCGGGAAGCCCUCCACAAGAUUAGAUCUCCCGGGGUGUAUGCCCCCUAAAGGUCUGUGGUAGACUACCACGUUGAUAGGCUGGAGGUGUAAGUGUAGUAAUACAUUCAGCUGACCAGUACUAAUUGACCGUGUGGCUUGACCCU